rnacentral:rRNA from 1 species
CCUACGGGAGGCAGCAGUGAGGGAUAUUGGUCAAUGGAGGAAACUCUGAACCAGCAAUGCCGCGUGAAGGAAGACGGUUUUCGGAUUGUAAACCUCUGUCCUCUGGGAAGAUAAUGACGGUAGCAGAGGAGGAAGCUCCGGCUAACUACGUGCCAGCAGCCGCGGUAAUACGUCGGGAGCAGGCGUUGUCCGGAUUUACUGGGUGUAAAGGGUGCGUAGUGGGCCUUGAAGGUCAGAAGUGAAAUCCAUGGGCUUAACCCGUGAACUGCUUUUGAAACUGUAGGGCUUGAGUGAAGUAGAGGCGGGCGGAAUUCCCGGUGUAGCGGUGAAAUGCGUAGAGAUCGGGAGGAACACCAGUGGCGAAGGCGGCCUGCUGGGCUUUAACUGACGCUGAAGCACGAAAGCGUGGGUAGCAAACAGGAUUAGAUACCCUUGUAGUC